CUGGCGGCGUGCCUAACACAUGCAAGUCGAGCGAACCCUUCGGGGUGAGCGGCGGACGGGUGAGUAACGCGUGGGUAACCUGCCCUGUACACACGGAUAACAUACCGAAAGGUAUGCUAAUACGGGAUAAUAUAUGAGAGUCGCAUGGCUUUUGUAUCAAAGCUCCGGCGGUACAGGAUGGACCCGCGUCUGAUUAGCUAGUUGGUAAGGUAACGGCUUACCAAGGCAACGAUCAGUAGCCGACCUGAGAGGGUGAUCGGCCACAUUGGAACUGAGACACGGUCCAAACUCCUACGGGAGGCAGCAGUGGGGAAUAUUGCACAAUGGGCGAAAGCCUGAUGCAGCAACGCCGCGUGAGCGAUGAAGGCCUUCGGGUCGUAAAGCUCUGUCCUCAAGGAAGAUAAUGACGGUACUUGAGGAGGAAGCCCCGGCUAACUACGUGCCAGCAGCCGCGGUAAUACGUAGGGGGCUAGCGUUAUCCGGAAUUACUGGGCGUAAAGGGUGCGUAGGCGGUCUUUCAAGCCAGAAGUGAAAGGCUACGGCUCAACCGUAGUAAGCUUUUGGAACUGUAGGACUUGAGUGCAGGAGAGGAGAGUGGAAUUCCUAGUGUAGCGGUGAAAUGCGUAGAUAUUAGGAGGAACACCAGUAGCGAAGGCGGCUCUCUGGACUGUAACUGACGCUG
rnacentral:rRNA from 1 species